rnacentral:rRNA from 1 species
GACGAACGCUGGCGGCGUGCUUAACACAUGCAAGUCGAACGGGCCCGCCCCUGUUUUUGGGGGUGGGUUGAGUGGCGAACGGGUGAGUAUCACGUGAGUAACCUGCCCCCUGCUCCUGGAUAACUGCUUGAAAGGGCGGCUAAUACGGGGUGUGCCGGCUGGUCCGCAUGGGCCUGGUCGGGAUAGUUUCAUCUUCGGGUGUUUCGGUGGGGGAUGGGCUCGCGGCCUAUCAGCUUGUUGGGGGGGGGAUGGCCCACCAAGGCGGUGGCGGGGAGCCGGCCUGAGAGGGUGGGCGGCCACACUGGGACUGAGACACGGCCCAGACUCCUGCGGGAGGCAGCGGUGGGGGGUAGGGCACAAUGGGCGGAAGCCUGAUGCAGCGGCGUCGCGUGAGGGAUGGAGGCCUUCGGGUUGUGAACCUCUUUCUCCGGUGGUGAAGGCCCUGUCCGUUGCGGCGGGGUUGACGGUAGCCGGGUAUGAAGCGCCGGCUAACUACGUG